rnacentral:rRNA from 1 species
GUCAGCAGCCGCGGUAAUACCGGCGGCUCGAGUGGUGGCCACUUUAUUGGGCUUAAAGCGUUCGUAGCUGGGUUAUUAAGUCCCUUGGGAAAUCCGACAGCUUAACUGUCGGGCGUCUAAGAGAUACUGGUAAUCUUGGAACCGGGAGAGGUGAGGGGUACUUCGGGGGUAGGAGUGAAAUCCUGUAAUCCUCGAGGGACCACCUGUGGCGAAGGCGCCUCACCAGAACGGCUUCGACAGUGAGGGACGAAAGCUGGGGGAGCAAACCGGAUUAGAUACCCGGGUAGUCCCAGCCGUAAACGAUGUGCGUUAGGUGUAUCGGUGACCACGAGUCACCGAGGUGCCGAAGGGAAACCGUGAAACGUACCGCCUGGGAAGUACGGUCGCAAGGCUGAAACUUAAAGGAAUUGGCGGGGGAGCACCACAACAGGUGGAGCCUGCGGUUUAAUUGGACUCAACGCCGGAAAUCUCACCGGAUAAGACAGCAGAAUGAUUGCCGGGCUGAAGACUCUGCAUGACUAGCUGAGGGGAGGUGCAUGG